ensembl:lncRNA
GACCAUGGCCAUCCAUGCAGGCUUCCCACAGUUUCCCUCCUCAGAGAGGUUUUAGGGGAACAACAAAUUCCAGGACUUUGAGUGUGUGUGUCUUUACCCUGAUAUAGUUCCCACAGCUUUGGAACUAGAGCCCAUAAUGGGCAAAAUGAGUAAAGAGAGGUUUUAGUAGACUGUUUUAUUUUAACUAUUCCGACCAUAGAGGGUUAGAAGGUCUUUUCUUGACUCUCUCUUAUUUCUUUUAUGGCUUGAAAUGGCUCUUAUGGAAAGGAAACCCAGAAUCAGAUUCCUCUCCUCAAGGACUAAAUUCUUCAGUAGUUCACCAAAAGAACUCUGCAUCUUUUAUCUCCUUUUAGUUUAUUUUACUACUUUAUUUUAUGGUUUAGCAGAAUCUUCUCUCAAAGUUUUAGAAAUAACUUUGCCAAAAACUCAAAAAUAUGCUUCAAAUAUUCUUUAUUCUUUUUGUUCUCCUAAAUCAGAAAAUGAAACUUUAUCAGUGGAUGAGUCUUCUCCUAGGCCCUUUGUGGAUGAUAAAUGAGGCCAAGAAUAAUAAUAACGGAUUCUUCCUGUACUUGGUAGAACAACUCUAGAAAGAGAUAAUGGCAUCAAAAAAGAAUGAAAUAAUGCCACUUGCAGCAACAUGGAUGGACCUAGAGAUUAUCAUACUGAGUGAAGUAAGUCAGACAGCGAAAGAUAAACAUAGUAUGAUGUCACAUAUGUGGAAUCUAAAAAAAAGGGAUAUGAAUGAACUUACUUGAAGAACAGAAACAUAUUCAAAGACUUUAAAAACAAACUUAUGGUGACCAAAGGGGCCAGGCUGGGAGAGGGAUGGACUGGGGAUUUGGGAUUGGCCUAUGCACACUGAGGUAUAUGGAAUGACUACCCACAGGGACCUGCUGUAUAGCACAGAGAACUCUACCCACUAUUCUGUGAUAAUCUAUGGGGGAAAAGACUCUGAAAGAGAAUGGAUGUGUGUACAUGUAUAACUGCAUCACUUUGUGGUACAGCAGAAAUUAUCACAAAAUUAUAAAUCAACUACACAUCAAUAAAACUUCAAAAAAUGGCGGCGGGGGCAGGGGGAGGUAAUGGCAAAUCCUCAGACUUUCCAGGCAAUGCGGAAUUGCCAGAUGAGGCCCACCACUCAGGUUAUCCACCCAGGCAGCAAGAAAACUUGUAAGUGCUUUUGGGGGUAACCGGGGGCUGUUCCAUCCACAUGACUGAAGGGUCCCUAAGUCUAGCUCUUUGGCCCUCUCCCACAAUGCGCUGCUUAGACUAGGAGUUCCCUAAGUGUCUUAUGAAGCAAGUUCCUGUUAUAGAGCAAGACAGACAGGAAUAUAAUGAUAUUUUUCUAGGAUGGCACAUUCAGGGCACCAUAGAAAUGUAAAACUUUGAGCUUCCCUUGGGAAAGGAAAAGAAGGCCACCAUUCCAUAAAGAGCAUAACGUAUGUUUUGAGAACCAAAGGAAUACAAGUCUUUUCCCUUGGUCCAAGACUGCUUUCACCAUCCACUACCAUGCGUAUUUCCAUGAGUCAGGGACCACUCAUUGGUCAGGGAGCACCUGCAACCUCUGCUGGCAACAACCGAGUUUUCUAGACAAGUUCUUGUUCACCUCUGAGUCAAGCCUUAGGGCGCUGUCCAAGUGCCAAGAACAUCGAGUCUCCACAGUGGAGAAAUCGCACCCAUUAACAUAACAAGAUUAACUAGGAAGACAGGUGAGGUCACCUGUGACUUUGUGCCAACCUGGCAACCCAAGCUGGUGCACGGGAGAUUAAAAUGCCCUGCCUAGCAACAGCUCUGAUGUCGUGUCAGACUGGCUGGAGCUGCUUGCUUGCUUAAACAGUUUUUGACCUCAAACAGGAAGUCCUGGGUGGCUCAAUUCAGAAAGAACACUCGGGUAAGAUCAGAGGGGAAGGUUGUCAGUUUCCAAACUUCUCUUCAGGGGAUCAAAGAACUAAAGUCAUACUGUAUUAAGAAAACCCUUUGGGAAGUCAUAAGAGAGCAGAAUAAAUAAACAGGUGAGCCAGAGGGGAUCUUUCCCUUGCUGGUGUGUUUCAGUGUCACUGGGAAAAGAAAAAAAAAAAUGGAGCCAUCUCUCCAGAUGCUGAAAACUAAAGACUGGCCCCCAAAAGCCCACAGCUCUGACAUUUGCACAGUGGCCGGCUUGUCAUUUAGUUUGAGCACUCUCUCCUGCUGGGUGCUUCUACCUCUGCCUCUCUGACUUCUGUCAGAGCCUUUGGGAAAGAAAAAACUCUCCCAGCGAACCUGCUCCUGGACAAUCCCUUAGUCUUAUCCUCCCUGCAAACUCACUGAGGGAGCUGGCCAGCUUACUGUGCUUCCACAAUAGGGCAGCUUCCUUAUAAAACAUACUGAGGCCUCCAGCACAUUUUUAGGAUGCCCACUUGUUCUUCUUCAGGGGAGUGGUGGCUCUUAUAAAUGGUGCCUUUCAUCAGAGAAAGGUGAUGAGUUGGGUGAGGAACAAAGUGGUGGCUAUAACCUUUGAAAAACGGAAUCGUAAUUCCAUUAGAGAAAUCAGGGCAAAGGUCCUAAAACAGAACAUCUUAAGAAACUGGAUUCAGCAGCUGUAAUUUAGCUAAGUGUAUUGCUGAGAGUCCAAGUUUACUCAGCAGCAUGGUGUCUUGUGGAGUUUCCCUCAAUCAGAUGUUUCCUUAAUGGACUGCAGGUGUUCAUCUUUAUGAACCUAAGAAGGGUGAAAAAAUAGUAUCUCACCAGAGAGAGCUGAGAUCAUUCUUCCUGCCCUGCCCUCUAUGUAAGAACCCCCACCCUAUGUCACCCUCCCUUUGGAUAGUUCUUCAUUCUGGUUCAGCGUCCUUUGAUUUUAAGGAGCAGAAAUCCUAGUGAAACUAGUUCUUCAUAAAGGCAAGGAGAAGGAGAGGGAGGAUUAUAGUGAUAUACUCCUUCCACUUAGCUCAGCAAGGUCAUGGGCAAACUGGAGCUGGGACCCCAGAUACUCUCUGCUAUGAGUUCAACAUCCUCCAUCUUCACACUGGUUUCUAAUAUGCAGUUGGUACUAGGCUGCUUUCACCUUUUCUGCUCACUGAUCAUGAAAAAUGCUCUAAUUGAACAUGAAACACAGAGCUUAGCUACAUAUUUCUCCUUGGUUUUCCAGGUGACUUAAAUGGCCUGUCUGGACACGCUGUGACUCUAGGCACCAUGCUGCUCUCUGCCACCCACGUUACUCUUGACUUCAUGGCUGCAUCUGACAAACACCUGAACUUGGGAUCAUGAUAGCUUAGAAUGUUUGCGUUGAUUCCCAUCAGACAAGUACAGAGAUGAUUAAAAGGAGAGAUACCCUUCAAUAGACAGUUGGUAUGGGGUGGGGCCUAGGCAUCUUUUUUUUCCAAUAUAUCAAUAGGCAGAAGAUUUUAAAUAUAUUUUUAAACUUUAAAACUCAAAAUUAAGAUAAUUUGCAUACAGUAAGUCACACUUUUUAGUGUCAGAGUUUGACAAAUGUAUACAGGCAUGUAACCACCAUCAUAAGAAAACAAUUCCAUCACUCCAGCAUGUUCCCCCAUGCUUUACAGUAGGCAUCUCAUUUUAAAACACUCUUUAAGCGAUUGUGGUGGGGGGCCAUGGUUGGGAAUAGCUGAUAUGGCUCAACACCUUUAACAAAUGGCAAAAUUCUGUAACUCAUCCAGAAUCACACUGCUUAACAGCCAGGACUAGGAUUUAAGUCACUCAUCUUUGUUUUAUGUUGUCCCAAUGCACAACACUUAUUCUAAAGUGUUUUCUUUGUCCAAGGUGGUUCCUUUCAGUAAAAACCGACGAAUGAUAUAAACCAUAAAAUGAAACAACCCAUAAACUGAAACAAGUCAACCCCAGAUUAAGAGAGAAUGAAAAAAAAUACAUAAUUUAGGGAAUCCUAUUUAUCUGAACACAAUCAGAAAAGCAAGCAAAAGGUAGGCAGGAUUGAGUGUGCCUGAUUCCCAGCACAAAAUGCUACGCUUUGUUUCUUUUUCCUUUUUGCAAACACUGUAUGUGUCUGACCCUCUGCUAAAAAAAAUACACCCUUGGUGAAUCACCUCUAAGCAACACCCCACAACUUAUUCUCCUUCCUCUCUUACUUUCCCUCUGAUCUGGGCAAUGGAAGGGGACAGACCUGGCAAAGCCCAUGCCAUAAAUAUCUCAGGAAGACUGGCAGAUAGACCUGAUCCAAUUAUGGCCUUAUGAUUAGCCUAUAAAUAAAUCAGCUUUGCCUCUUUUAAACACGCUGCCCAAAGAUAGAAGCCAUUUUGCUUUGAGAAGCAAACAGCCUCACCCAGGGGAUGGGCCAAGAAAGACCAAGGAAUUUUGAAAUUCUACUGUGUUUUUCAAGGAAAACCUGUGGAGUUGGCCACAGGUGAGGCAGCGCAGUGUGUGGGGAGAGAUCCAUGCUGGGGGUGGAGUGUCUGCUGCUUUAUUCUGCAGGUGCCAGGAGCCAAAGUCAAGAACCAUUUAAAACCCUAGGCAAGCACUCCAGACCAAAUGGGUGAGCACCAGUCAUGCCUUUGAAAGUAUGACCCUUUCGUGAAGUCUAAAGAAACUUUCCAUCCAGAAAUGUAUUUUUCAUCUUCUUCCUUGGUUCUGGGCCAAAAACGACACCUUCUGAGGGGCUGUCAAUCCCCCUUAGGUCUUUAGGAGUUUCACAGGUCCUCAGGCCAGAAUUCUGAUUCCUUCUUUUUCUUUUCUUUUUAGGGCUGCAGCUGUGGCAUAUGGAGGUUCCCAGGCUAGGGGUUGAAUUGGAGCUGUAGCCACUGGCCUAUGCCACAGCCACAGCAAUGCCAGAUCUGGGCUGCAUCUUCGACCUAUAACACAGCUCACGGUAGUGCCAGAUUCUUAACCGAUUGAACGAGGCCAGGGAUCGAACCCGCAACCUCAUGGUUGCUAGUUGGAUUCGUUUCUGCUGAGCCACUGCAGGAACUCCUGUUUCCUGGUUUUUCUUUCUUUGUUUUUUUUUGUGCAACCAAUGUAUUGCUAAAUGUGAUCUUACAAAGCUUUGAUUGGAGCCCUUUCUCCACCCUUGAACACAGAGUAAUAAUCAUUGAAAAAUUAACUUCUCAACAAGUAGACUGAUUCUAUCUGAGUUGGAUAGCCCAGUGAAUAAGCACCCAGAUGCUGUUACCAAACAAGAUGCUGGUUUGAACCCUGAUUCCACUAUUUGUCUUCCAUGUUACUGGGAAAAUUAUUUAAUGUCUUUUGAGUCUCAGUUUCCUCAUCUGAAAACUGGGUGCAAUAACGUCACCUACUUCAAAGAGGUCUUGUGUGAAAACAGGAGUAGUUAGUCUUGUGCCCAGCACAGAGCAGGUGCUAUUAUCUUAGAGAAACUUGGAAUAGUUUAGUGCAUCUUGACUUCUUCGGGAUAUACUGUAUCAAAAAUAUCUCUUGCUGGGGGGAGGCAACUAAGAACUAGCAAUUACCAAAAUUAUGACUGAUAUUAAAUAUUUAACUUAAAAAAAGUCUUUGUAACACUUCACCAAACUAUUUUAAACAUUACAAAAGUGAGCAAUCCACCUAGAAUUUCAAAGAAAGUCAGUGACUAAAAAAAAAAAAAAAAAAAAAAAAAAAGU